rnacentral:siRNA from 1 species
UAACGGCAAGCCUUUAACGGC